AAGUAGGUUGUUAGAGAUGUCUGG
rnacentral:piRNA from 1 species